UCAGAACCCUAAAAUGGUCGUUGAAGGCGCC
rnacentral:piRNA from 1 species